AUGAGUGUUAGGGGAAGUCUCAAUGAGUGUGAGAUUCCCCCAUUCUAAUUCUUCUGCUUUCUAGAAAUUCUUUUUUUGGAGAAACUUCUGCUUUCUAGAAUGGUAGACAAUAAUGCUGAUAAAAUGUGUAUAGUGAAGAAGUUUUUUGAAAACUAUAAUGGAAAAGGGGCAGUUGAAAUAUAUUGGAAACAUGAUCUAAUUUAAAAAGGAAGAAAAAUAAAAACAGCACUACCUAGCAAGCUGGGAUACUAAAAGAUGUUAAUCUACCCUCAAAUUACAUGGUAGAUAUAUACAACAUCAUCUGAAUGUGUAGAAUUUGUCUUAUAAAAAAGGAGUCAGAACCACGAUCUAAAAAGUUUCAUAGCAAACAUCAACUGCCAAUUAAAACAGCUGAUAAAUAUUCAAUACGAUCUUAAACAUAUAGGCAUUUUUCUAAACUAUGUGUCAGACUUACAACUGCAGAUUCUCUUAACCACUCUUUAAACUUGAGUUACCUCUGAAACUUUGAUAUAUAUUUUUUUUUACUUAUGUUUUCAAAACUUCCAACUUUUUUAUUAAGGUGAAACUGUGGAAACUUCAAAGUUGAACCAUCCAGCCUGCAGAGCUGUCUGAUAGUAAAUAUGCUUCUUUUGGGGGUUAAUAAAAGAGCUUUCCUAUUAGCUGCAUUGUUUAGACAAGAAACUAAUAGGCCUAGGCAAGCCUGAUAAGAACUGGGAAAAUAGUUCUUUACAAUCAGUUAUGAUGGUUUUGUGUUAAGGGAUGUGUCAAUGAGUGUAAAGGUUAGAAUUUUUGAUAUAUUCAUUAGGUUUUGUAGAGAUAGUUGACCUUCGAGUGAGGGAUGGACUCACUAAGAAGCUGGAAUAACCUACUGUAGAUGGGUGGGAUACUGGGAUGUCAUUUCAAAUUCUGAGGCAUUUUGAUUUUUCUUCCAGUUACUUUAUUGCUUUUUUUCCUGGCUUUGAGAGACCCCAUUCCUUCCCUUUCCUUUACUCAAUUGUCAUUAUCUUUAGCAUCUAUAUCUAGCACAGCAAAGUUGGAUUAUUUACCUCUAUAUUGUACAUAUCUACAAGAUACUAUGCCCUCUGAUGUAGACCUCUCUCUGUUACUGUUAUGAUUCCAUUGAAACUUCAAUAUUCAAUAGUGUGCAAAUAAUGGGCCUGAAUGGAAUGGCCUUUUUACCACAAAUAUAAGUUUGUAUAUAGAUAAUUGUACCUUUUUUUUUUUCUAAUGAAUCCCGUGCAUUGCAGGAGAGUAUAAUUUAUCGUCAACAAGUGGAACAAGAGUUUAUAUUGAUUUGGACAUUCCUGAGACUGCUAAAUUCAAAGAUCAGUAAGUGCUUUGUUUUGGAUUCACAUUUUUAAUUUAUUUACAGUCUCUACAAUAUUGCUUAAAGCAUCAAUGCAAGCCGUAUUGUGAAAACUGAUGCAUGGCACUAUGUUUGGCAGGUAAUAGGUCUGCAACCACAAAUGGCCACAUCUAACUGAAAUAGUAGGUUUACUCAUAGGAUUACACUUUCUCAAACAUAGUUAGCAAGCAAAAAAAUUAUAAAGUCCCCACCAAACUAAAUGAUUGGUAUAUGAUUGGUUUAAUAAUUUUUUCCUCACAUCGAGUAAAGAAUAUAGAUGAUUGAUAAUAUAUUUUUGAUCACUAAUUUUAGUUUUGGAUUAAAAUUAUAGAUCUAUGUGUUAGCCCAAACAUCAUGAGAAACUUUAUACUAUAAGGUGUUAGUUCUGGACUCUAUGAUAGAUCUAUGUAUUGUAAAAAGAGGUGACUCUCAUGAUACAUACAUAUAUUGCCUUUAUCACGCAAUUCAUGUUUAUGUGCAAAGCUCAUGUUUCAUGUUUUCUUACAAUAUCCCUUUAUGCUUUAUCUAUCCAACUAAGAAAUCCUAUGAUCUCUGAACCUUUACUUCAGAAACUCAGAGCAAACAUAUUCCCAUAACCCCUAACUUUCUGCUUUCUUUAGUUACCUAUUGUAAUGUUUCCCUUUAUCUUGGAUUCACAUAAAUAUAGAUAUUUAUAAAGUGACAAAAUCACCCUUUUGAAAUGUCACAAUACUAUACCAUACCAUGUCUAUAAUACUAUGUCUAAUAUCUUUAUGUAAUAUAACAGUCUUGUGGAAAAUAACCAACCAAUAGUACAAAUGCCAAAGCAAUUCAAACCACAAGUGACAAUUCAAGAAGAGAUGAACAUCAACAAAAGAACUAUAAGUGAAAUAACAAAAAUUAUGUGGAACUCUGAUAGUGAGGUAAGAAAAAAAAAAUACCUUCAACAAUAACAUUGUGUCCUUAACAUUGCUUUAUGUACUAUAGACCUACUUUUACAAAAUUUAACUAUAAAAUUAUGAAUUGAUUGAUAUUAAAUUCAAUUUCUAGGAAACUAUCUUUACCUGUCAAGGAAAGAUUAUAAACAUUGACAUAGAUAAUUCUGGUUGGUACUUUUAUCUCUUGAAAAGUAUGUCGUAAAAAGGUAAAGUCAAGAGAUAAAUUUUUACGGUACGACAAUUGCAACAAAAAGACAUGCUUCCCAAUCCUUAGGUACACAAAACGAUAUUAACAUUAUAUAUGUCAUUUCUUUUAUCAGGUAUAGAAUUCAAUUAAAGGUUGAAGAUAGCUCAGGAAUUGCCACAUUCAUUUUAUUUGAUUCAGAAGCAGAAAAAUUACUCAACAUAUCAACGAAAGACCUUUUGAACAAAUGUUUAAAGGUGAGAAUAUGGAAGAUAAAAUUUGUAUUUAAUAUUUGCUAAACUUUACUUGAGUGUACAAUUUGAAAAAUGUUACUUUUGUUAGGAGCCCGAAGAAGUCAUCCUUCCUGUGCAAAUAGAAAAUCUGAAAGGAAAACAAUUUGUUUUCCAAAUACAACUAAAUGACUAUAAUCUCAAGUAUGGAUGGGAAUUGUGCACCGUCAUGAAACUUUUUAACUAUUUUGAAAAAACUGGCAAAGCAAUUCAACUUGAUAAAAUGACAGAAGUACGUAUUCUUUAAUUUAGCAAAAUUAAAAAUAUAAUAUUUAAGAUGUAUAUGUUGUAAUACAUUCCUCAACUUGUUCUAUUGCCAGGCUUACAUCAUGAUACUUCAAAUGAAUGUACCCAAUUGGUCCAUUAGUAACACAAUCUGGUAA
rnacentral:sRNA from 1 species